ensembl:lncRNA
UUGGAGCGCUGAUGAUUUACAUCAGAUCUACAUCUACAAGGUUAUUCAGUGCGCCAGAUGGCGAUUUAAUGCUGUAGUUUAAACUGAGCCGGGGUUGAAAGCAUAAGACGUGGCUACUUUUCAUCAGGCAGGCUAAAAGGACCAGUAUCAACACCGGACAAAAACUACUGACGUAGCGAGGAGAGAGGGGGCACACAGGAAAAACUCCCCCAGUGGAAUGAGAAAUGACAGUGAGGGUCAGGCUGAGUUCAUGUGCGUACCUCAAAGGAGCCGGGCAGGGUGCAGCAGCAGGGCAGCGGUCCUCACACUGGGAAGCAGGGUUUAAAGGAGGGGAGGCGGGGGCUGGGAGAGGAGCAGGAGGGAUGCAGGGAGAUGCAGGUGGGGUUGGCGGAGCUUCAGGAGUGUGCCUCUCCGGGGGAGUCGGAGGAGGCGUGGGAAAUUCUGUGGUGUCUUGGAGGUGAGGUGGGACGGCGGGCGAGAGGUGGUGUUUCUCUGGGCUCCUCCGGCAGCUCCCUGCUCAGCCUCUUCUCUGGUUCAGGGGGCUCUGUUGACGCCUUGUUUGGUUCCGGGAUCUCUAUUUCAUUAUUUGUAGGUUCUGGUAUCUCUUCCGGGCUUUUUGUUGAUUCAAGGAGCUCAGGUGGCUGUUCUUCUUUUUCUGAGGAAGUUUGUGGCUCCCUUCUUGGUUCUGGGAGCUCUACUAUCUGCUGGGCAGCUGUCAGAAGCUCUACUCUCUUCUCCUCUGGGACCUCUACUCUGGUGCCCUGUGUUGGUUCUGGGAGCUCUACUGUCUGCUGUGGUGCUUUCGGGAGCUCUACUUUCUCCUCCUCCUCUGGGACCUCUACCCUGGUGCCCUGUGUUCCUUCUGGGAGCUCUACUAUCUGCUGGGCAGCUGUCAGGAGCUCUACUCUCUCCUCCUCCUCUGGGACCUCUACUCUGGUGGUGCCCUGGGUUGGUUCUGGGAGCUCUACUGUCUGCUGUGGUGCUUUCGGGAGCUCUACUCUAUCCUCCUCUGGGACCUCUACUCUGGUGCCCUGUGUUGGUUCUGGGAGCUCUACUGUCUGCUGUGGUGCUUUCGGGAGCUCUACCUUCACCGCUUCUUCUAGGAACACUGCCUUUGUGCUCCGAGUUGGUUCUAGGAGCUCUGCGGUCUUCUUUAAAGGUUUAGGAAGAUCCACUGGCUUCUUCAAAAUAUUCAGAGCUGGUGUCUCUGUUGUAUUGUCCGCUGCUCGAUCUGGUGGAUGGAUCUCCUCUUGUCUCCAAGGGGCUGCUGGUUCUUCAGUCGGAGUGAGAAACUCUAAUUGAGGAGACUCCAGAGAUGGGAGGGGUCUGGAAAAACAAUGCAAGAGACAAAGGGGUUGAGAGAUGUUGUUCAGUUUACAGCACAUGAAGGAUUGACUGACAAAUGACAAAUGUGUGCGUUUGUGUGGUUGGGGGGGAUACGUGUGUGCAGAAAUACUGAAGGUACAUGUGUGUUUGUGCAGUUGUUGCAUUGUGGUUACGACUGUGAGAAAAGGAUCAUUCUUGCCCUGGAGAGCAGGGCCGAUG